rnacentral:misc_RNA from 1 species
UAUUUGUCAAACAUGGAACUGUAUUUUGAAAAUUUAUAGCAACGUAUUUUCCUAGUUUUGAUGCCAUUUUUAAGAAAGCUGGUCAGAAAAGAAUUUUGCUUUUGCAUCUCGCUGACUUCUGGAUGCAUCAUAAUUUCAUUCUACACCUUGUUUUUCGGAUUCCUUAACGCAGGAACCACUGUUGACGAGGUUAUAUACAAAAACACAUCCAAAACUGAUGUAUAUGCGAAAUGGUUUAACGUAUUUCAUAUAGCACUGAUGAUCGCGGCUGCAGUUAUCCUGCUGAUCUCUGUUAUGACGAAAUACUUAAAAAUAGUUUUCGUUUGGAUGGCCAUGUUCAUCAUUCAUAUGAUAUCUUACUACAUCAUCUUCAAUGCUUUGAUAAAUGUUCGCAAUCCGUUCUUUAAAAAGGAAGUGUCUGCAUUUUUUUAUGUCUUGGUGAAUUUAGUGACGUUGGGAAUCGAUUUCUUCUGUUUGCUCAAAGUUUACUCAUAUUAUUAUGUAAAGUCGCAUCCAGAUCAGUUUACACCAGCAUGUGUUGAUAAAUAAGAGAAUGUCUCUAAAAAUUAAAUGAAGAACAGCAAACUGGAUUUUAAGAUGAUAAAACACAAUAACAGUUCGUGGUCUUCACCAUAUGUUCUUCAAGUGAGAGGAAGUCAAAGUGUGGAUAAUGCUUUUACUGUGCUAAUAUGGCAGACUCAAUUUUCUUUAUAAUUUCAUUAGCAUCUUGAUGAGAACUGAAAACGAUUCCACGCGUGCCUGACAAACACGACACACACAUCAAGCUGGAAAUUCUAGGCUAAUGCUAAUGAGGCCAUAAUACAAAUUCCUGAAAUUGUAAUUAUGCAAAAAAGUUAAUACUUCCCACGCCACAAUCAAGCAGAUAUGGCGAAAAAUGAGAAGGAACCUA